rnacentral:rRNA from 1 species
AGACGUCUACAUUAGACUACCCGGGUAGUCCCAGCCGUAAACUAUGCGCGUUAGGUGUAUCGGUGACCACGAGUCACCGAGGUGCCGAAGGGAAACCGUGAAACGUGCCGCCUGGGAAGUACGGUCGCAAGGCUAGAAACUUAAAGGAAUUGGCGGGGAGCACAACAACGGGUGGAGCCUGCGGUUUAAUUGGACUCAACGCCGGGAAGCUCACCGGAUAGGACAGCAGAAUGAUUGCCGGGCUGAAGACCCUGCAUGACUAGCUG